rnacentral:lncRNA from 1 species
AACAAUUCUUAUCCUUAAUUCCAUCCCCCUCUGAUGAGUGAGAUAGACUUGGUCGACGACAACGUUGAAGGAAGAGGAAGAUGAGAAGUGGUAUCGAAAGAAGGAUAAAAAAUGUGAAGAGAGAAGAUGGAGAAGAUGUCAGUUGGUGCGAUCUAUCAAGAAUUGAAAGACGCUCUUAGGUCCUUACUUUGCCUACAGGCCUCUGCCGCAACCAAGUCUUCCCCGUUGGCGUUGCCCACAUUUUCAUCCCCUUUUGGGAUUGAAUCGAUAGGUCAUGGAAUGACGUCCUGGUAACAAAAGAGGCAACAAGCGGCACACUUGCAGACUUAUGCAUUGGUAUGUCUGGAGUGAGAGGAAUUGUCAAUAGAUGACUAUUGUUAAUCGAGGUAUGAACUAAGAAGUUCCUCAGCGACCUGGAGAGCAAUUACAAGAAGUAGAUAAGAUCCAUAUUAGCAGUUGCGGCUGCAUGAUGUACAAAUUAUCCUAAGUUUUAUAAAAAUCAAUUAUCAGGUAUAUCGAGGUUAAAAU